rnacentral:rRNA from 1 species
AGGACGAACGCUGGCGGCGUGCUUAACACAUGCAAGUCGAGCGGUAAGGCCCUUUCGGGGGGUACACGAGCGGCGAACGGGUGAGUAACACGUGGGUGACCUGCCCCCUACUCUGGGAUAAGCCUGGGAAACUGGGUCUAAUACCGGAUAUGACUCAAGGCUGCAUGGUUUUGGGUGGAAAGCUUUUGUGGUGGGGGAUGGGCCCGCGGCCUAUCAGCUUGUUGGUGGGGUGAUGGCCUACCAAGGCUUCGACGGGUA